rnacentral:lncRNA from 1 species
AUUGAGAUUGGGCUUUUGGAUUCAUAUGGAUUUUGGGAUUAGGCUUUUGGGUUCAUUUGGGCUUGGUAUAAGAUUUGGAUUUGAUAUAGGAUUUGAAUUUGAUGUUGGGUUGAGAUGUGGAUUUGAUAUGAGAUUUGGAUUUGGGUUGAUAUGGGAUUUAGAGAUGAAUAUGGGAUUUAGGCUUUGAUUUAGGAUUUUGGACUUAGGAUUUGGGCUUAUUUUGGGUUUUGGGUUUAAUUUAGGAUUUGGACUUGGGUUGAUUAUGGAUUUGGGUUUUUGGGUUUAAUUUAGGUUCGGGCUUUGGACUCAAUUUGGGUUGAUUUGGGUUCGAAUUUGAUUUGGAUUCGAAUUUAAAUCGAAUUUGGGUUCGAAUUCGAAUUUGGUUCGGAUUCAAAUUUGGGUUCGGAUUCCAGUCGAAUUUGGAUCCGAAUUUGAUUUGGAUUCGAGUCGAAUUUGGAUUCGAGUUUGAUUUUGAGUCUAUAUGAGAUCAAAAUAUUUCGGUAUCUGGUUCAAAAUCAAGUUCAUCCAAGUUUGUCAAUUCCUCAAUUGUAUACGAUAUCCAACCAAUUUGAUCUAAUUCGAUCAAAUUGAACAGUUCGAUUAUCAAAAGAAUAUUAAUUAGAAACCUAAUUAAUUUUCUUUUAUUUCUCUACUGAAAGAGAAUUAAGAGAAUAUUUUUUUCUCUUUGUCUCUAAAAAAGAGGGAGGCAAAGGUGGGAAGAUCCCUCCUCUGCCUCCCUCUCUCUUUUUUAAUCAUGAUUAGAGAAGUACUAUCUUUCUCUCUUUCUCUCAAAUAUAUAUUUUUUGAAGAGUACCAUCGAUGUUCAUCUCGACAUUCCAUCGAGCGGUUUGAUUAGCACGUCGACGACGAAGUAUUUCGUCGAAUGAUUGGUCGGUAAAUGAGAGCAUCGCUCUCUUUAUGAUUCGCCACCGAGCAAUUAGCGGGCGAACUUUGUUUGAGAGGAGAGCACCGCUCUCUCUCUCGGGUUCGUCGUCGGAGCGGUUGGCGGACUUGACUUCAUUUGAGAGGAGAGCACCGCUCUCUCUCUCAAUUUCGCCGUCGAGCACUUGGCGAGCAGAUUCUGGGUAUAUCGAACACUUGGCGGGCGGAACCCGUUUGAGAGGAGAGCACCGCUCUCUCUCUCAGGAUCGCCGUCGAGCAACUGGUGGGCGGACUCCGUUUGAGAGGAGAGCACCGCUCUCUCUCUCAGGUUCGCCGUCAAGCAGCUGGCGGCUUUGUUGAUGACGGAGCUCCGCUGGGGCUGUGACCUGACAGUGGAGCCACGGAUCUGAGACCGCGACGGAGGAGGGCCGUGACGGCGACACUCUGCAGCAGUGAAGGGCCACGACAGCGGCGCGGCAUCGACGGGGCUACGGCCUUCGAGGUGGAGCGUCGCGGCAUCAGAGGGAACUCCUCGGGUUCGAGCCAUCAAAGUCGACGACGGCGCGCGGGCGUCGACGGAUCGGAGGUCGCUGCUACCUUGUACAAGGAUUAGAACGAGGAAGAGGUUCGACAGAGGUACGGCUCGGCUUCAAGGGAAGCCUCGGCCUUCACUUGACGGCGGCGCGAAUUGAUCGCAGAGCGGGCAAGGGAGGCUUCGGUCAGGCUCGACAGUGGUGUGGCUUGGCCUGUGCUCGACGGCGAAGCGGCUCGACCGGUGCUCAACAGCGGUGUGGCUCGUUGAGGCAUUUGGUCGAACAGGUAGCGGGCCUCGGGUUGAAGCACGUCCAGGCGGUGGGAGUGACGGAGAUGACUUCGGCCGAAGUAUGCCCGGGUGGAGCGGAGCGACGGGGCGGCAAUGUAUCGUGCCUCGGGUCGACGGCGACGGCGCGGAAACGGCCAUCAGUGGUUGGAGCAUGCUCAAGCCGAGGGUCGACGGAGACGGCCAUCAUCAGCGCAGGCGGCCUCGGCGUCGCGGAGUGGGCAUCAACGGUGCCGGCCAUAGCAACGGAGCGCGCCUCGGAGCGCGCCUCGGAUCGGCGAGGAGCGACUGCGACGGUAACGGAGUGUACUUCGGAGCGCGCCUCGGGUCGAGUAGCCUCGGAGCGCCCCCGGAGCGAUGGCGAUGGCGACGGCGAGGAGCGAUUGCCUUGAGGGAGGAGGGGAGAGAGAGAGAGACCUCUUUUCUCUCUUUUUUUUUACCCAGAGAGAGAGCGAGCUUUGUUUAUUUUCGACUCGGGAGAGGACAUUUUUUUUUUUUUUACCUUUUCUUUCUUCUUUUCAACAGAAUUGAGUAGAUCUCCUUUUUUUUCCGACUAAAUUUUUUUUUGAAAUUCUCCAAAAGCUCUCCCCCUUGCGAUUUUUCUUCACGGGUAUUUAUUCAUGAAUCCACGGUUCAUGAAUACUUCCUAUAUUUAUUCCCACCGGGCGUGCCAUUUUGUCUGCCACCACGAAUGACAUACCUCGCACGGUUGAUCUUAUUUUGAUUUUUACCGUGGGGUAGUAUUCAUGAUUCAAAUUAAUAUUUGAAUAUGUAUGAGAAUCAGGUUUUGUGGAUUCAUGGCUUCCAAUAAACACAAGCAUUUAUUGUUAAUUACCCCUACAAAGUGUUAGGGCACUUUCGAUUAAGAGACCUUUGUAAUGCUGUAAAAGAUGAAUUUUAUAACAUAAUUCAGUACGACGGUUGAUUGAAUUUGAUUCUGAACCAAGAUAUCAAAGCAUAUAAUCAAAUUGAUUUGAUUGGGCUUCAUAUGUUUCAGUGCUCAACAAUAUUGUUCACCCUAAGGUGAAAGGUUGGUUAAAUCCCCUGUAUAUACACUGGGAUUUAAUCAGAUUUGAUUCAAAUUAAACUCUAAUUAAAUGAAUUAGAGUUUGAUUUAGUUAAUCGAACUUUAAAUAUAUGUGAUAAAGUCCAAUGGGAUUUGAUUUAAGCUUUCAUCCUAGAUGUAUAUGUUAGGAUUAACUCAAAUAUUUUGGAUUAGACUCUAAUUUUAUAUCUUAAAGUCUAGUAUAAUUAAGCUCUAUGCUUAUAUGUUUGAGCUUAAUUAAGUUCACCAUAAGGCCAAAUAUUAACUAAAUCCUAAUUAUAUAUAUUAGGAUUAGUCAAAAUUUGAUUAAACUCUAAGUGUAUGUAUUAGAGUCUAACUUGGUUUCACAUGAACUAAAUCCUAAUUAUAUACGUUAGGAUUAGUCAAAUAUUUUAAAUUAAACUCCAAAUGUAUAUAUUAGAGUCCAAUUUAAUUUCAUUUGGGUUCGCCAUAAGAUGAAUUUAUGUCCACCAUGUAGCGAGGUGCGGAUCAAAUCCCAAUUAUAUGCGUUAGGAUUAGCCGAAAUUAAACUCUAAGUAUAUGUAUUAGAGUCUAAUCAAUAGAUGAAUUUGUGUUUACCGUAAGGUAAGAUAUCAACUAAAUCCUAAUGUUAUAAGUUAGGAUUAGUUAAAGUUUAAACUCUAAGUGUAUGUAUUAGAGUUUAAUUUAAUGAACUCUAAGUAUAUAUAUUAGAGCUCAAUUGAUUUGAUUAGGUGAAACCUGGUAUAUGGUUUGAUCAAUUCUAAUCAAACAUUUUAGAAUUUGAUCGAGUUUGACUCUAGUUAUAUAUGCUAGAGAAAAGGUUUGAUAUGGGCUAAUUACGGGCUCAAUUUGAUUUGGACUCGGAUUGGCUAUAGGAUUUGGAUUUGGAUCAGAUAUAAUAUUUGGAUUUGAUAUGGGAUUUUGGGUUUGAUAUUGGGCAUUGAAUGGGAUUAGCAUUGAAUGGGAUUUGGAUUUGAUAUGGGCUUGUUAUAGGAUUCGGAUUUGGAUUGGUAUAGAUUUUGGAUUUGGGUUGAUUUUGAUUUGGACUCAAUUUGGGGUUGAGAUUUGGGCUUGGGUUUAAUUUAGGAUUUGGGUUUGAAUUUGGAUUUGAGCUUGAUAUGGAUUU